rnacentral:lncRNA from 1 species
GCCCACGCUCGCCCGCAGCCGAUUUUAUAUCAGAUUUGCUAUUUCACAUCUGCCUGAGCCGUUGGAUCUAGCCUCUCUAAUAUUCGCGCAAACGCAGGCUCGCGACUCGUUUGUCUGGCGCGCGGCCCGUUCCACGUCGUUGUUAGUUGGGGGCGGGCCGUGUUUUUUUUUCUCUCAGAUUUUUGGGCUGGGGCCUUUGUUUUGUCUGUCCUCGCCUCGCAUUCUUCUGCAGAGAGCGCCCAUCGAGUUUUCCCUCUCGCAUUCAUUCGCCCGUUUCCCAUUCCUCUCCAGGGCAAGCAGGCGACGGCGAUUUUGGAGAGGGAGAAGGGAAAAGGGGGUAGAGACCCGGUGAAUUAAGUUUCUCUUCUUGAUUCUUGUAGUUUUUGUUCGAUUUUUAGUACUAUUCCCCUCUGCUUGUGUUGUAUGUACCGCAUGUUCUAGGGUUUGUCUCCGAUCCCAUCCAGAUUUUCAUCUGCUUNNNNNNNNNNNNNNNNNNNNNNNNNNNNNNNNNNNNNNNNNNNNNNNNNNNNNNNNNNNNNNNNNNNNNNNNNNNNNNNNNNNNNNNNNNNNNNNNNNNNNNNNNNNNNNNNNNNNNNNNNNNNNNNNNNNNNNNNNNNNNNNNNNNNNNNNNNNNNNNNNNNNNNNNNNNNNNNNNNNNNNNNNNNNNNNNNNNNNNNNNNNNNNNNNNNNNNNNNNNNNNNNNNNNNNNNNNNNNNNNNNNNNNNNNNNNNNNNNNNNNNNNNNNNNNNNNNNNNNNNNNNNNNNNNNNNNNNNCGUCCCCGUGAGGGAGGGGCGAUUUUAUCAGCGAUCUUGGAUCCACGCAGAUGUGAGGGAGGGGGAUUUUAUCAAUGGUAGUUUUGUCUGUGUUCAGUUCAUUUUCUUGUCAUUUUUUGCUAUAUUCAGUAGAAGUAGGUGUAGGUUCCAGUAGCUGAUUAGGUUUUGAUUGUACGAAUUGAGGUUCAAGUUGUUUUGUUGGUUGUACGAAUUGAGGGUUAACCAUUUUUCUUAGGAGGAUUAGGUGUGGGGAGCACUUUGUAAGAAUGCGUUGUGUUCCAGAUGAGUUCUCAGAACUGUACUAGUAGGAUUGUUUUUCCGACCAUAUACUGUUGUUCUUCUUGAUACCAUUGUUUGUAGAUUUGUCUUUUGUUUUUGUCUGGCUGCGCGCCAAUAGCUAGUAAGUAAAUUUUGUGAGACUGGUGGCACAUUCAAUUGGUAAUUGUUUGCUUUUCUCGUGGCAUUUUUUUAAGUAGGGGGUGAACUAGUCGUUUGAUGGUUAACUGUUUUUUGUGGGUGUACUGUCGUGAUAGAUUGUGUUCCAUUUUUCCUAACAGAUCAAGUAGGACUUUUCUCUUAUGUGGAUGUUUAUCUGUCAUGGUAUAUGCUUGUACUUUCCAAGGCUGUAUAUAACCUUUAUACACGUUUUUUUUUCAUGUAUAGUAUAUGAACAUCAGUUAUCAAAAAAUGGGGAUCCAUCAUAGGGGUGGGGAGCACUUGUAAUGAUGUGUUUGUGCUCCAGAUGAGUUAUCAGAACUGUACUAGUAGGGAUUUUUUUUAACCAUAUACUGAUGUUCAUCUUUGAUACUGUUUGUUGUAGAUUUGAUUUUUUUUUAACUACCAGAUGAUGAGUCAUUUUAAAAUGGAUGCAGAAACUGUACAUGAUAUGUUCUAUCAUGUUUAUUUUAUAGUUUUUCAUGGAUGCAGAAACUGUACAGGAUCAGUAUUUUUUUCUGUAGCUUUUCAUGGAUGAUGUGAGUCAUGAUAUGUUUUUGUUGCAGGCCCAUGUCUUUUUCCAUCAUUUAUCUUUUGUGUAAUUGGUAUUCUUUAGGAACUCACGUUCUCUUUAUUUAUUUUUUUGCCUUUUCAGCUCCGAAACCAGGAUGUUGUGCUCAGUUUGCUUCGUUCAUUGUGAGAUGAACAACGGCAGGAGCUUUGGCAUGUUUUUUCGGGAUGUCAAUGAAAGCUUUGCGGUAAUGUCUGCUGCCACAUUUUUUUGCUGUUUUUCAUGUGCUCUGGAUGUUAAUGAAAAAUCCACCAUCGACUCGCAACUCGGAUACCCGCCCUAGUUGCAAGUCCACUAUUGACUCGCAACUCGAGGUUUUUUUUGUUCUUUGUCUCAUGACACUUGCAAAUCGACCCUUGGCUUGCAACUAGCGGUUUUUUUCCGUCGGCGAGUUGCAAGUCUACUAUCGAGUCGCAACUAGUGGACUUAGUUUUGUAAUUGCCCCAGUUUGCAGGUCCACGAUUGACUUGCAACUUGGUAACCGCCUCUAGUUGCAAGUCCACCAUUGACUCGCAACUCGAGGGCGUUUAUUUGUCUCAUGCCACUUGCAAAUCGACCGUCGACUCACAACUAGGGGGGUGGGGGUUUCCGUGUUCNNNNNNNNNNNNNNNNNNNNNNNNNNNNNNNNNNNNNNNNNNNNNNNNNNNNNNNNNNNNNNNNNNNNNNNNNNNNNNNNNNNNNNNNNNNNNNNNNNNNNNNNNNNNNNNNNNNNNNNNNNNNNNNNNNNNNNNNNNNNNNNNNNNNNNNNNNNNNNNNNNNNNNNNNNNNNNNNNNNNNNNNNNNNNNNNNNNNNNNNNNNNNNNNNNNNNNNNNNNNNNNNNNNNNNNNNNNCCCAGUUGUAAGUCCACCAUCGAGUCGCAACUCGGGACAUAGUUUCUUUUUUGACUUGUAAAUGUGGUUCUUUUGCCUAGUUUGCAAUCGCCCUACUUGCAAGUCCACCAUCGACUCGCAACUCGGUACCCGCCCUAGUUGCAAGUCCAUCACCCCCUUGCAACUCGGUACCCACCCUAGUUUCAAGUACACCAUCGACUCGCAACUCGAGGGCUUUUUUGUUCUUUUUGUCCCAUGUCACUUGCAAAUCGACCCUCGGCUCACAACUAGCGGUUCUCUCCGUCGGCGAGUUGCAAGUCUACCAUCGAGUCACAACUUGGUGAUGUAGUUUUGUAAUCGCCCCAGUUGCAAGUCCACCGUUAACUCGCAACUCAGUACUCGCCGCGAGUUGCAAGUGCACCAUCGACUCGCAACUUGAGGGCUGUUUUUUGUUCUUUUGUCUCAUGCCACUUGCAAAUCGAUCCUCGACUCGCAACUAGAGGGGGGUGGGGGUUUCCAUGUUCUUUUUGUAACCACUCCUAGUUGCAAGUCUACAAUCGACUCGCAACUCGGGGGGAGGGGGCGUGUAGUUUGCAUUCGCCUCAGUUGCAAGUCCACCAUCGACUCGCAACUCGAGAUGUAGUUAUUUUUUGACUUGUAAAUGUGGUUCUUUUGCCUAGUUUGUAAUCUUCCUACUUGCAAGUCCACCAUCGACUCGCAACUCGGUACCCGCCCUAGUUGCAAGUCCACCAUGGACUCGCAACUCGGUACCUGCCCUAGUUGCACGUACACCAUCGACUCGCAACUCGGUACCCGCCCUAGUUGCAGGUCCCCCAUCGACUCGCAACUCAAGUUUUUUUUCCUUUUGUCUCAUGCCACUUGCAAAUCGACCCUUGGCUCGCAACUAGCGGUUUUGUCCGUCGGCCAGUUGCAAGUCUACCAUCGAGUCGCAACUUGGGGACGCAGUUUUGUAAUUGCCACAGUUUGCAAGUCCAUCGUUGACUUCCAGUUUGGUAACCGCCCCUAGUUGCAAGUCCACCAUCGACUCGCAACUCGAGGUCGGUUUUUUUUGUCUCAUGCCACUUGCAAAUCGACCCUCGGCUCGCAACUAGGGGGUGGGGGUUUCCGUGUUCUUCUUGUAACCACUGUUGGGGAACGUAAUAAUUUCAAAAUUUUCCUACGCACACGCAAGAUCAUGGUGGUGCAUAGCAACGAGAGGGGAGAGUGUUGUCUACGUACCCUCGUAGACCGUAAACGGAAGCGUUAUAUCAACGCGGUUGAUGUAGUCGUACGUCUUCACGAUCCGACCGAUCCAAGUACCGAAAGCACGGCACCUCCGAGUUCUGCACACGUUCAGCUCGAUUACGUCCCCGCCUUCUCGAUCCAGCAAGAGGGGCGAAGUAGUAGAUGAGUUCCGGCAGCACGACGGCGUGGCAACGGUGUUGGUGAAGAACAAUCUCCGCAGGGCUUCGCCUAAGCACUACGAAAACUAUGACGGAGGAUAAACUAGAGGGGACGGGGUUGCCGGCACACGGCUUGGUGUUUCUUGAUGUGUCUUGGGUGCUAGCCCUACCCCUCUAUUUAUAUGUUGAGCCUUGGGGUCGAAACUUGGAGUAAAAGCCUCCACAAAGUCGGUUUCACCCGAAAGGCAAGAGUCCUUCUCGGACUCCAGGGCCAGACGCCAGGGUUUCCGACGUCUGGACCCAGACGCCAGGGACCCUGGCGUCUGGCCCCCGGACUCCGCAAAACUUCCUUUUGCGCUUUCCAAAAACCUUGUGGGCUUUCCCCUUUGGCCCAAAUAAAGUGUUCUUGUGCCCAAACAUUUCGGGAAACAUCCGGAACCCCUUCUGAUGGAUUCUGGAACCUUUCCGGAGAUCAAACACUACUAUCCACAUAUCAAUCUUUACUCCGGACCAUUCCGGAGUUCCUCGUCAUAUCCGUGAUCUCAUCCAAAACUCCGAACAACAUUCGGUCACCAACAUACAUAACUCAUAGUACUAUAUCGUCAACGAACGUUAAGCGUGCAGACCCUACGGGUUCGAGAAUUAUGUAGACAUGACCGAGACACCUCUCUUGUCAAUAACCAAUAGCGGGACCUGGAUGCCCUACAUAUUCUACGAAGAUCUUUAUCGGUCAGACCGCAUAACAACAUACGUUGUUCCCUUUGUCAUCGGUAUGUUACUUGCCCGAGAUUCGAUCGUAGGUAUCUCAAUACCUAGUUCAAUCUCGUUACCGGCAAGUCUCUUUACUCGUUCCGUAAUACAUCAUCCCGCAACUAACUCAUUAGUUGCAAUGCUUGCAAGGCUUAUAGUGAUGUGCAUUACCGAGUGGGCCCAGAGAUACCUCUCCGACAAUCGGAGUGACAAAUCCUAAUCUCGAAAUACGCCAACCCAACAAGUACCUUUGGAGACACCUGUAGAGCACCUUUAUAAUCACCCAGUUACGUUGUGACGUUUGGUAGCACACAAAGUGUUCCUCCGGUAAACGGGAGUUGCAUAAUCUCAUAGUCAUAGGAACAUGUAUAAGUCAUGAAGAAAGCAAUAGCAGAAUACUAAACGAUCGAGUGCUAAGCUGAUGUGAUCCCAUUAAUCAAAUGACAACUCAUGUCAAUGGCUAGGAAACAUAACCAUCUUUGAUCAACGAGCUAGUCAAGUAGAGGCGUACUAGUGACACUCUGUUUGUCUAUGUAUUCACACAAGUAUUAUGUUUCCGGUUAAUACAAUUCUAGCAUGAAUAAUAAACAUUUAUCAUGAUAUAAGGAAAUAAAUAAUAAGUUUAUUAUUGCCUCUAGGGCAUAUUUCCUUCAGUCUCCCACUUGCACUAGAGUCAAUAAUCUAGAUUACACAGUAAUGAUUCUAACACCCAUGGAGCCUUGGUGCUGAUCAUGUUUUGCUUGUGGAAGAGGCUUAGUCAACGGGUCUGCAUUCAGAUCCGUAUGUAUCUUGCAAAUUUCUAUGUCUCCCACCUGGACUAGAUCCCGGAUAGAGUAGCGUCUCUUGAUGUGCUUGGUUCUCUUAUGAAAUCUGGAUUACUUCGCCAAGGCAAUUGCACCAGUAUUGUAACAAAAGAUUUUCAUUGGACCCGAUGCACUAGGUAUGACACCUAGAUCAGAUAUGAACUCCUUCAUCCAGACUCCUUCAUUUGCUGCUUCCGAAGCAGCUAUGUACUCCGCUUCACACGUAGAUCCCGCCACGACGCUUUGUUUAGAACUGCACCAACUGACAGCUCCACCGUUCAAUGUAAACACGUAUCCGGUUUGCGAUUUAGAAUCGUCCGGAUCAGUGUCAAAGCUUGCAUCAACGUAACCAUUUACGACUAGCUCUUUGUCACCUCCAUAAACGAGAAACACAUCCUUAGUCCUUUUCAGGUAUUUCAGGAUGUUCUUGACCGCUGUCCAGUGAUCCACUCCUGCAUUACUUUGGUACCUCCUUGCUAGACUUAUAGCAAGGCACACAUCAGGUCUGAUACACAGCAUUGCAUACAUGAUAGAGCCUAUGGCUGAAGCAUAGGGAACAUCUUUCAUCUUCUCUCUAUCUUCUGAAGUGGUCGGGCAUUGAGUCUUACUCAACUUCACACCUUGUAACACAGGCAAGAACCCUUUCUUUGCUUGAUCCAUUUUGAACUUCUUCAAAACUUUGUCAAGGUAUGUGCUUUGUGAAAGUCCAAUUAAGCGUCUUGAUCUAUCUCUAUAGAUCUUGAUGCCCAAUAUAUAAGCAGCUUCACCGAGGUCUUUCAUUGAAAAAUUCUUAUUCAAGUAUCCCUUUAUGCUAUCCAGAAAUUCUGUAUUAUUUCCAAUCAGCAAUAUGUCAUCCACAAAUAAUAUUAGAAAUGCUACAGAGCUCCAACUCACUUUCUUGUAAAUACAGGCUUCUCCAAAAGUCUGUACAAAACCAAAACUCCGAGAGGCUUGCAUCGGUCCAUAAAUGGAUCGCUGGAGCUUGCACACUUUGUUAGCUCCCUUUGGAUCGACAAAACCUUCCGGUUGCAUCAUAUACAACUCUUCUUCCAGAGAUCCAUUCAGGAAUGGAGUUUUUACAUCCAUUUGUCAAAUUUCAUAAUCAUAAAAUGCGACAAUUGCUAACAUGAUUCGGACAGACUUAAGCAUCGCUACGGGUGAGAAGGUCUCAUCGUAGUCAAUCCCUUGAACUUGCCGAUCAUCGGGCAAGUCAACCAAAGUCCACACUUUGUUCUCAUACAUGGAUCAUAUCUCAGAUUUCAUGGCCUCAAGCCAUUUUGCGGAAUCUGGGCUCACCAUCGCUUUUUCAUAGUUCGUAGGUUCGUCAUGGUCUAGUAACAUAACCUCCAGAACAGGAUUACCGUACCACUCUGGUGCGGAUCUUACUCUGGUUGACCUACGAGGUCCAGUAACAACUUGAUCUGAAGUUUCAUGAUCAUCAUCAUCAACUUCCUCACUAAUUGGUAUAGACGUCACAGGAACCGGUUUUUGUGAUGAACUACUUUCCAAUAAGGGAGCAGGUACAGUUACCUCAUCAAGUUCUACUUUCCUCCCACUCACUUCUUUCGAGAGAAACUCCUUCUCUAGAAAGGAUCCAUUCUUAGCAACGAAUGUUUUGCCUUCGGAUCUGUGAUAGAAGGUGUACCCAAUAGUCUCCUUUGGGUAUCAUAUGAAGACACAUUUCUCCGAUUUGGGUUCGAGCUUAUCAGGUUAAAGCUUUUUCACAUAAGCAUCGCAACCCCAAACUUUAAGAAACGACAACUUUGGUUUCUUGCCAAACCACAGUUCAUAAGGCGUCGUCUCAACGGAUUUUGAUGGUGCCCUAUUUAACGUGAAUGCAGCCGUCUCUAAAGCAUAACCCCAAAAUGAUAGCGGUAAAUCAGUAAGAGACAUCAUAGAUCGCACCAUAUCUAGUAAAGUUCAAUUACGACGUUCGGACACACCAUUACGCUGUGGUGUUCCGGGUGGCGUGAGUUGCGAAACUAUUCCGCAUUGUUUCAAAUGUAGACCAAACUCGUAACUCAAAUAUUCUCCUCCAUGAUCAGAUCGUAGAAACUUUAUUUUCUUGUUACGAUGAUUUUCAACUUCACUCUGAAAUUCUUUGAACUUUUCAAAUGUUUCGGACUUAUGUUUCAUUAAGUAGAUAUACCCAUAUCUGCUUAAAUCAUCUAUGAAGGUGAGAAAAUAACGAUAUCUGCCGCGAGCCUCAACAUUCAUCGGACCACAUUGUAACAGCCCCAAAAUUGGGUUAUCAAUUUUUGUGCUGUUAUUCUCUCCUGGCACUCAUUUUCAAAAUGUUCUCCUGAGUUUGCUGGAUGACCCUGAGAAAAUUUUGUCAUUUCCAACCUUUCAAAAUCCUGCUCAUGUCUUUUUCAGUGGGCAAGACCUCAUUUGCAUCAGCUCAAUUCCUCUUAAACCCUAAUUCCAAAUUUUUGGAAUUUGGAUAUGCCCUUAUGAUUACAAAGGAGCCACCAUUUUCCUUAUUCUGUUGAUCCUCCCAAUUGAUCCCAGAGAUCAUCCUAUCUUUCUUAACCUUGGAUAUGCAAAAAUAUUGCUAAGUCCAAUGCAAUAUUUUUGAAUUAUGAUUUAUUCCUUUUCUUGCCUUUUCGAGGAAUAAAAUCCAAAGGCAUAUCUAGCCAUCUCCUAAAUUCAUGAGAAUUGGUGGAGUUGAUCUUAUGCCUAAUCCAAGCUCUGGCAAGUAUAUUGGCCAUAAUUAAAUAAGGAAAAUUGCCUUUUCCUAUUUAAUGCCAAUAUUGCAUUUCUGCCAAUUUCCAAAUGAACUACUAUUUUUAUACCAGAGAAAAUUCCCACAUAAAUUGUGGAGCUUGUCCUUGCUAUAUAAUCACUAGUUCCAUCCUAAUAUCAUGAUUCCACAGUUCAAAAUUUGGCACAUGAUCCAAUGCAAGUUUCUGCCUUCUCUGAAAUUUUGCAAAGGAAGUGCUUUAUUGCUAAGUCCAAUUGAGCUGAAAUAACCCAUGGAUACCAAAGAUGAGCUCAACCCAUUCACCCUAGCUCCCUGUGCAAUUUUUCAAAGUUUCUGACCAGAACACAAGUUUGUGAAGGAAGUACCUUGAUAGUGUUUCCAAAUGGGAUGAAACUUUUCCAUCCUCUCAAGUGUCUCAAAUCAUUAUCCUCCACCCAAAUUCAGUUCAUUUAACUGAACUAUGUGAGCACAGGAGCAAUUCUUGUUUUCUGUCCAAAUUUUCAGUUUGUGAAGCAAGUGUACUUUAUCUUGCUCCAUUAUGGCUGAUAAUUUUUCCAGGCCUUCUCCUACUCAUAUAACCUAUCUCCACAAGAUUGUGGCUCAUUUCACUUGACCAAUUGCCCUGAGGAUUUUUUUGAAGUUUUUGGACAGAAAUGAUAGCUGUGAAGGAAGUACCAUUUUGGUGAGUCCAUUUGGUAUGAACUUUUUACAGCAUCAUGGUAUGUUCAAAUCAUCAGGCUUUGCCAAGUUAUAGCCCAAUCCAUCACUCCUAGUGAGUGUUUCAUCAUGAUUAAGUUUUUGGGUCAGUUUUGGUGGUUGUACAACAACUAUGGUAAAUAGUUGUCCAUUUUACCUCAAAACUCCCAGGACCGUAGUCCUUUCUACCCCAAGCCUCUCGGACAUCUAGUUUACCAUUUACCCUCUCUGGUUUAAUCUCUAGGAUGUUGCCAAGUUUGCAACAGCAAACUUGUGGAGCUUGUUUCACUCAUCUCCAUUUGUCUCUGCCCGAUCUUUCACCAUGGUAACACUCUACGCUGGAAGGACUACGCGGUAGACAUGAAUUUACAUCAGUUAAAACCCCAAAGCGUGCCAUGCCAGUGGUGACCACGCGUGUAACCAGCCAAAACGUUGGUCUAGCCACUGUGGUCGUCGGCAUCGCUGCCCCGACCGCCUCUGGCCUCGCCAUUAAUGUCGAGUAGCCCCUCCCCCCUCGUCGUCGUCUUCCCUCUGGACCGCUGCCCCCCUUCGUUUUCUUCUCCGGAGAGCUGUGCCAACGACUGGAAUAGUGCGCUCCUGUGCAUCGUCGUCUUCCUUGUCGAUGUCUUCUUCCUUCGUUCGUCCGCACGCCUUCCUCGUCUCCAUGACCCUCUGGCGUUCGUCUUGAUCCCCCUCGUCGCCUUCCCGUGCCUCCCCGUGAGCCUUGGCCGCGCCUGCGCCCUCGCCGGCGCACGGACACGUCGCACGCCGCGUGCCACCUCGCCCCCCCCUUCCCGAGCUCUCCCGUGGCUAUAAGUAGAGCCCUCGAGCUCUUCCGCGGCCACAAUGCCUCUCAAAUCCUCCCCACUCGCCUCGAAGCUCCACAUCCCCCUCCAUGGCCGAAUGGCCGCCGCCGAUCCCCCUCGGCCAUUCUCUCUCUCCGGCCGUCCCCUGCCUAGUCUGAGCCCAUGGAUGGACGCGCCACUCCCCGUCGAUCCUCCCUGGCUCGCCGCCCCUCCGCUUCCCCCACCAGAACCCCAUGCCCAACAUAGCCCGAAGCCCCUCUCCGCCGCGUGCCCUGCUGCUUCUUCUCCCGCGCUCCUCGCCGGCAACCGAGCCCACCAGGAGAUGCGCCUCGUUCUCCUGAGCUCGUGGGUAGGUCGGCCGUCGCGAGAGGUGGCCGGACGCGCCGACGAUCGCCGUCGGGGCGAUCCCCUCCCGCUGCCUCGCUCGACCCCGAGCGUGAGGAAGAAGAAGGCCAGGCGAGCCCCGCCCGCAUUGACCCUGCCUCUGGGCCCCACCUGUCGGCGAGACGGGGAGCACCACGUUGGAUAAGUGGACGCGCCCCAGGCGCGAAGUCGUUUUCCCCACGCGAAAGCGUAUUGCUGGAUAAUGCGCUUUCAAUCACCGAAAGCGUAUUCUUCCUCUUCUUCUGGUUAGAAUGCGCUUUCCUUUCUGGAAAGCGUAUUUCUGAGAAAGACGCGAUCUGUUUUUCUGCUAGGGCCCCGUUUGUAAUGAUUUUCUUUACAGAUUGGUCCCUGAUAGUUAAACGGUCAUAUCUUUUUACCCACAACUCCAAAUGAGGUGAAUCCAAAACCCACGUCUUUGUUUCGUCGAGCCCGUUCCGUUGAUGUCAUUUUCAUAAUAUUUUCACACAGUGAAAAUGACCUUUUUGCCCUUGCCCGUAAACAGCCCCCUUCGAGAAGGAACUGUUUCCGGCAAAUCUUUUCGCGAUCAUUUCACACUUCUUCCCGGAGUAUUUGUCGACCCCAGGCAAGCCAACCUCUUAUCACGAGCCCCGAACUUGCAUGUUGACUUUGCUUGCACCUUGUGUGUGUGUAGUUGCAGUUGUUUUAUAUCGUUUUCAUCGGCAGUUAUUUCUUUAUGCCCAUCUUGCAUGCUUGUGUUUCAUGAUACCUUUGCCAUGUUAAUUAGAAUGUUAUUAUUAAUAAUGCCAUGCCACUACUCUACUUUAUUUGCAUGUCAUCGUUAUAAACUGUUAUGAGGAUUGUAAUGCACCGUUGAUAUACUAUUGUCGUGUCCUUUAUGUUAUAGUUGUGCACUUGAGGAGUUCAAUAUUUUGUUCGUGCAUUUGUAUGCGGCAUGUUGCACUCAUGUUAAAUAUGUUCAUGAUGAUGGAGAAGGAAAUAAAAUGACUUAAUAAUAACAAACCUCCUCCGUCAUUGAUGGGAUCGAGUCAUAGUGCCGCCAAACCGAACUUUUUCAGUGCAGCCACAUUUGCCUUAUGGGAGGCCUUAAUGCGAGCUAUUGUCGUGACAUCUCGCCGGUGCCUCCCACUAGGGAAGGUUAUGGGCGUGCUUACCCUGAUCAGGUAAGCGGACAUAACCUUGUGUGCUCGUUUUUGAGAUUUUUGGUACCGGUCCCCGAGUGGGAGUGUCCCCGAGUGGGAGUUGACCAUGACGGUGGUCGGGGUGUCUUUGGUAGACACGAGGCCACCCAGGACCAGCCCGUUGGGGAUUGGGUCGGAGUGGCCGGGAGAGCGUCAUGGCAGUAGGUUGGUUUCGUCGGAAUGCCGUUGGUCCACCCGAAUGGGAUGACGAGGCCAUGGUUCCGUGGUGUGGGUACAGUGUGCUACCUCUGCAGAGUGUAUAAAGCCUAUUGAUAGCAACAGUUCGUAGUAGGUCCCACUAUCAGGUCUUGGUCAAAAUGGAGGACAAACCGAAAUAAUUAAGUUGGUAAAUAAAUAUGUGAUAACAAGAAUAUGGUAACUUGAACUAUGAGAUAGUCGUGAGGAGUCACGACGAUAUUUUGAUGAUGAGAUAAGUGGUUGUGAUCGCCGUAAGGAUCACGGGCCAAAUAUUGGUCGUGGUUGUGAUCGCCGUAAGGAUCACGGUUGGAGACCAAGUGUUGGUCGUGGUUGUGAUCGCCGUAAGGAUCACGAGUUGUUCUUGAGAAAGACCACUUUGGUGGUGUGUUUGUGAUCCUGAGAUGAUCACAGUUGAUAAGAGAGUCCGAGGGACUUGGUGCACAAGUUUGGUUGCAUUGCUAGAAUAAUAUAUCAUUAUUUGCAUUUAAAGAACCAUGAUAGAAUAGAAGAUGAUUGCAUAAUGUUAACAUGCUAUGUCUGCAUUGGAUAUUAUUGGUAGUUUAUUUUCAGCAUAGUUUCUUGAUGCCAUGUUAUGCUUUGAUUGACAUGUUAAGUUAUGCCAUGAUUGAGAUAAAAUUCUAUGUUUUGCUAUUACAAUGUUAUAAUCAUGUUCUGAUAUGCCAUGUCAUUGCCAUGUUAGUAGAUGUUAUGAUUUUGUUCAUGCUUAGUUGAUUUUAUCAUGCCAUGUUUAGUAAUUGAUAUGAGAUAGGGUGUUGCAUGCGCUCGGUUCUUGCUUUGUCUGCAGCUUGUUUGGAUGCUAUGUAUUUGGUUGUCUUGCAAGUACAUUCAAUGUACUAACCUGGUGUGUCAUGCCAGUUUUGUAGGUCGUACCCGUAUUGCUCGCUUGAUCCGUCGUGCUAGGUCGUAAUCUUGCCAGUCCUGUGAGUUGUGGAGCCCAGCUAGAGUUGUUAUGCUACCAAAUCAAUACUUACGCCGCCAUUUUUAUCAGACUUUCGCUGUCAUUUAAUAGCCUUAGGGCUAUGCCAGAUAAUUGUAUUCAUCAAUGAUGUAAUCUCAUAUACAUGUAUUUGAUGAAUAUUUUUGUACCUGGAAUGUUGUAUUAUGGACCUGUCGUGCGUCAGGUGUUAUCCUGGGCUGACGUGCGAAGGCCCCCUGCUCCAUGCGGAUCGGGAUGCUACAGGGCAUGGUAUCAGAGCAGCCAGGCUGGCAUAGGUUAUCCUAGUAUUAGAUCACCGCUACCAUUAACCGGUAAUGGCCCUAAGGGAUUUGACCCAUCCCUGCAUACGGCAUGGCCACUGUUAAUCAACAGGUGGCGCAGUCGGGGCCGACACGUCCUCACCCCGCUGUCCCUGCCUAGUUAUCCGUGGCGCGGAUAGCAACCAUAUCCUUUCGGAUCGGCCACACCGCUCACCCUUCGCCAUUAAGGGAAAGGGGCCACACCAUGCGGGCAUGUCUCGCAUAGCUGCCUAUAAAAGCCCCCUUUUCGCUCGAUGUAUCGCUCACCCCUCAGUCAACCAUGUCCCUGUAGAGAAGCCUAGCUAGUAGCACUCCAGCCAUGACUGGCACCUUCAAAGCUCCCAAGUUUCACAGCCGCACCGGUGCCGUCAACCACCCCGGCUUUCCACCCCUUCUUGCUGAGAUGCUCACCAAAGCCUUUGGCUGUAAGGCUAACCCCGAUUACUUGGUGUUCCAAUCAUCACCCGUCCCUCACCUUCAUCACUUCGAUGCAAGAGUGUGCAUCAGCCUAGCAGCGGAUGGCCAGCCGUUGGUUUUUCAGGGUAGAGCUAUGCCUACCUCUGAUUUAGCCAUUCAGGUCGCUGCUGUGGAGGCUAUGCUUCACCUCCGAACCAGAUACCCGCAUAUGGCAGCAAGGCGUGAUUUCUGCUUCUACCCCAUUGUGACAGAGGUAGGAAUGCAGCCUUCUCCCGCUAGCCAAGGAGAUGACCCCGCAAUCGCUCGCCUGGUGCAGUAUAUUACCGCCCAGGGGAUGAUGAUUUCCCAGAUGCUUGCCGAGUUUCGAACUCUGGACAACGAUGCGGUGCGAGUCGUCAAGGAAGCUUACCGUGAGGCUCGUAAAUUCGCAUCUCAAGUCAUUUGUCCAACGCCAUUCGAACCAGUGUUGUCCUCUCAACCCGUGUUGUGGCCUAGACCCAACAUCGUCACCCUCGACAAGGCUAUUUUACAGAUCCACCAGCAGCAUUUGCUCGGAUCAAUUUCAGCCACACCCCCAGCAGCCGAACCCCAACCCAUAGUAGUGUCGGAUGAUGAAGAUGGAGAUUGGCUCAGUCUUCGUCCUCCCGGAGAGCCCCAGCAAGGCUGCAUGACCUCAGUCAAGCAGUAAGAUGAUCAGUCUGUCGGUUCAUCCUUGAUAUGAGGGUAGAACUAUGUAUCCCUAGAUGAGUUGCUUCGUUUAGCGCGUAGCGUGUUCGUGUUCUGUUGUCUGCUGGUACUGUUGUAGUCCGUAUGCUGUGUUCUAUGUAUGUUUUUGUGCUUUUGUUUUUGUGUUGUUUUUGCUUGUCUCUCUGUCAAGCAGAAAUGUUUGACUGGGUUGACACUGUGUUGCUAACAAGAUUUUAAUUAGUAGAUCACAUACACUAAAUUAACCCUGACUCGUCUCGAGUCUAUAAUAAAAUGCGCGCUGGUGUAGGUAUAUGUAUACCAGGAGUACGUAUAUGUAUACCAGGAGUACAUAUACCCACUAGCAUUAAAACACCGUAGAAUGAUUUUGCCUGGUGUGUUUUCCGUUGCAUGUUUAUUGCCUCUGUUUGUUUGCUAGUUCAGAUUUUUCUGCAUACUGCACGCAUACCCGGUUCACCCACGAGUACAUUCGGGCAGUACUCGGGGAAAUGCAAAGUCACAUAUCCCUAUCUAUCUGUGCGUACGCCGUGUGCCGGAUUUCCAACUCUAGAAACCCCGCAGAGGCAUUUCCGCUUGGAAAUUCCUCGUCUCUAAAUCUUUUUCCUGAUUUCAUUUCCGGAGAAACACUGCCAAUUUUAUUUCACUCGAUCCAGUACAUCUACCCCGAUACAGGUUUCACCCUUGAUUCUACCUCGACACCUACGUUUCGUGGAGGAAUCCGCGAAUUUUUUUUCUCGGUGCCCCCAACUCGUUUGAAUUUAACCAAAGGAUUAAAAAUUAACCCCGAGGUUUUUCUCCGGAGUUGUUAUUCUUUCGUUUGUGCUGUAACCCUAGGAAUCUCGAGGACGAGAUUUUAUUUUUAAGGGGGGAAGAGUUGUAACAGCCCCAAAAUUGGGUUAUCAAUUUUUGUGCUGUUAUUCUCUCCUGGCACUCAUUUUCAAAAUUUUCUCCUGAGUUUACUGGAUGACCCUGAGAAAAUUUUGUCAUUUCCAACCUUUCAAAAUCCUGCUCAUGUCUUUUUCAGUGGGCAAGACCUCAUUUGCAUCAGCUCAAUUCCUCUUAAACCCUAAUUCCAUUUUUUUGGAAUUUGGAUAUGCCCUUGUGAUUACAAAGGAGCCACCAUUUUCCUUGUUCUGUUGAUCCUCCCAAUUGAUCCCAGAGAUCAUCCUAUCUUUCUUAACCUUGGAUAUGCAAAAAUAUUGCUAAGUCCAAUGCAAUAUUUUUGAAUUAUGAUUUAUUCCUUUUCUUGCCUUUCUGAGGAAUAAAAUCCAAAGGCAUAUCUAGCCAUCUCCUAAAUUCAUGAGAAUUGGUGGAGUUGAUGCUUAUGCCUAAUCCAAGCUCUGGCAAGUAUAUUGGCCAUAAUUAAAUAAGGAAAAUUGCCUUUUCCUAUUUAAUGCCAAUAUUGCAUUUCUGCCAAUUUCCAAAGGAACUACUAUUUUUAUACCAGAGAAAAUUCCCACAUAAAUUGUGGAGCUUGUCCUUGCUAUAUAAUCACUAGUUCCAUCCUAAUAUCAUGAUUCCACAGUUCAAAAUUUGGCACAUGAUCCAAUGCAAGUUUCUGCCUUCUCUGAAAUUUUGCAAAGGAAGUGCUUUAUUGCUAUGUCCAAUUGAGCUGCAAUUUGGCAGGUUGUUUAGCAAUGUUAAACAACCCAUGGGUACCAAAGAUGAGCUCAAUCCAUUCACCCUAGCUCCUUGUGCAAUAUUUCAAAGUUUCUGACCAGAACACAAGUUUGUGAAGGAAGUACCUUCAUAGUGUUUCCAAAUGGGAUGAAACUUCUCCAUCCUCUCAAGUAUCUCAAAUCAUUAUCCUCCACCUAAAUUCAGUUCAUUUAACUAAACUAUGUGAGCACAGGAGCAAUUCUUGUUUUCUGUCCAAAUUUUCAGUUUGUGAAGCGAGUGUAUUUUAUCUUGCUCCAUUAUGGCUGAUAAUUUUUCCAAGCCUUCUCCUACUCAUAUAACCUAUCUCCACAAGGUUGUGGCUCAUUUAACUUGACCAAUUGCCCUAAGGAUUUUUCUGAAGUUUUUGGACAGAAAUGAUAGCUGUGAAGGAAGUACCAUUUUGGUGAGUCCAUUUGGUAUGAACUUUUUACAGCAUCAUGGUAUGUUCCAAUCAUUAGGCUUUGCCAAGUUAUAGCCCAAUCCAUCACUCCUAGUGAGUGUUUCAUCAUGAUUAAGUUUCGGGGUCAGUUUUGGUGGUUGUACAACAACUAUGGUAAAUAGUUGUCCAUUUUACCUCAAAACUCCCAGGACCGUAGUCCUUUCUACCCCAAGCCUCUCGGACAUCUAGUUUACCAUUUACCCUCUCUAGUUUAAUCUCUAGGAUGUUGCCAAGUUUGCAACAGCAAACUUGUGGAGCUUGUUUCACUCAUCUCCAUUUGUCUCUGCCCGAUCUUUCACCAUGGUAACACUCCACGCUGGAAGGACUACGCGGUAGACAUGAAUUUACAUCAGUUAAAACCCCAAAGCGUGCCAUGCCAGUGGUGACCACGCGUGUAACCAGCCAAAGCGGUGGUCUAGCCACUGUGGUCGUCGGCAUCGCUGCCCCGACCGCCUCUGGCCUCGCCAUUAAUGUCGAGUAGCCUCCCUCGUCGUCGUCUUCCCUCUGGACCGCUGCCCCCCUUCGUUUUCUUCUCCGGAGAGCUGUGCCAACGACUGGAAUAGUGCGCUCCUGUGCAUCGUAGUCUUCCUCGUCGAUGUCUUCUUCCUCCGUUCGUCCGCACGCCUUCCUCGUCUCCAUGACCCUCUGGCGUUCGUCUUGAUCCCCCUCGUCGCCUUCCCGUGCCUCCCCGUGAGCCUUGGCCGCGCCUGCGCCCUCGCCGGCGCACGGACACGUCGCACGCCGCGUGCCACCUCGCCCCCCCCCUUCCCGAGCUCUCCCGCAGCUAUAAGUAGAGCCCUCGAGCUCUUCCGCAGCCACAACGCCUCUCAAAGCCUCCCCACUCGCCUCGGAGCUCCACAUCCCCUCCAUGGCCGAAUGGCCGCCGCCGAUCCCCCUCGACCAUUCUCUCUCUCCGUCCGUCCCCUGCCCAGUCUGAGCCCAUGGAUGGACGCGCCACUCCCCGUCGAUCCUCCCUGGCUCGCCGCCCCUCCGCUUCCCCCACCAGAACCCCAUGCCCACCAGAGCCCGAAGCCCCUCUCCGCCGUGUGCCCUGCUGCUUCUUCUCCCGCGCUCCUCGCCGGCAACCGAGCCCACCAGGAGAUGCGCCUCGUUCUCCUGAGCUCGUGGGUAGGUCGGCCGUCGCGAGAGGUGUCCGGACGCGCCGGCGAUCGCCGUCGGGGCGAUCCCCUCCCGCUGCCUCGCUCGGCCCCGAGCGUGAGGAAGAAGAAGGCCAGGCGGGCCCCGCCCGCGUUGACCCUACCUCUGGGCCCCACCUGUCGGCCAGACGGGGAGCGCCACGUUGGAUAAGUGGACGCGCCCCAGGCGCGAAGCCGUUUUCCCCACGCGAAAGCGUAUUGCUGGAUAAUGCGCUUUCAAUCACCGAAAGCGUAUUCUUCCUCUUCUUCGGGUUAGAAUGCGCUUUCCUUUCUGGAAAGCGUAUUUCUGAGAAAGACGCGAUCUGUUUUUCUGCUAGGGCCCCGUUUGUAAUGAUUUUCUUUACAAAUUGGUCCCUGAUAGUUAAACGGUCAUAUCUUUUUACCCACAACUCCAAAUGAGGUGAAUCCAAAACCCACGUCUUUGUUUCGUCGAGCUCGUUCCGUUGAUGUCAUUUUCAUAAUAUUUUCACACAGUGAAAAUGACCUUUUUGCCCUUGCCCGUAAACAGCCCCCUCCGAGUAGGAACUGUUUCCGGCAAAUCUUUUCGCGAUCAUUUCGCACUUCUUCCCGGAGUAUUUGUCGACCCCAGGCAAGCCAACCUCUUAUCAUGAGCCCCGAACUUGCAUGUUGACUUUGCUUGCACCUUGUGUGUGUGUGUAGUUGCAGUUGUUUUAUAUCGUUUUCAUCGGCAGUUAUUUCUUUAUGCCCAUCUUGCAUGCUUGUGUUUCAUGAUACCUUUGCCAUGUUAAUUAGAAUGUUAUUAUUAAUAAUGCCAUGCCACUACUCUACUUUAUUUGCAUGUCAUCGUUAUAAACUGUUAUGAGGAUUGUAAUGCACCGUUGAUAUACUAUUGUCGUGUCCUUUAUGUUAUAGUUGUGCACUUGAGGAGUUCAAUAUUUUGUUCGUGCAUUUGUAUGCGGCAUGUUGCACUCAUGUUAAAUAUGUUCAUGAUGAUGGAGAAGGAAAUAAAAUGACUUAAUAAUAACAAACCUCCUCCGUCAUCGAUGGGAUCGAGUCAUAGUGCCGCCAAACCGAACUUUUUCAGUGCAGCUACAUUUGCCUUAUGGGAGGCCUUAAUGCGAGCUAUUGUCGUGACCUCUCGCCGGUGCCUCCCACUAGGGAAGGUUAUGGGCGUGCUUACCCUGAUCAGGUAAGCGGACAUAACCUUGUGUGCUUGUUUUUGAGAUUUUUGGUACCAGUCCCCGAGUGGGAGUUGACCAUGACGGUGGUCGGGGUGUCUUUCGUAGACACGGGGCCACCCAGGACCAGCCUGUUGGGGAUUGGAUCAGAGUGGCCGGGAGAGCGUCAUGGCAGUAGGUUGGUUUCGUCGGAAUGCCGUUGGUCCACCCGAAUGGGAUGACGAGGCCAUGGGUUUCGUGGUGUGGGUACAGUGUGCUACCUCUGCAGAGUGUAUAAAGUCUAUCGAUAGCAACAGUUCGUAAUAGGUCCCACUAUCAGGUCUUGGUCGAAAUGGAGGACAAACCGAAAUAAUUAAGUUGGUAAAUAAAUAUGUGAUAACAAGAAUAUGGUAACUUGAACUAUGAGAUAGUCGUGAGGAGUCACGACGAAAUGAUGAGAUAAGUGGUUGUGAUCGCCGUAAGUAUCACGGGCCAAAUAUUGGUCGUGGUUGUGAUCGCCGUAAGGAUCACGGUUGGAGACCAAGUGUUGGUCGUGGUUGUGAUCUCCGUAAGGAUCACGAGUUGUUCUUGAGAAAGACCACUUUGGUGGUGUGUUUGUGAUCCAGAGAUGAUCACAGUUGAUAAGAGAGUCCGAGGGACUUGGUGCACAAGUUUGGUUGCAUUGCUGGAAUAAUAUAUCAUUAUUUGCAUUUAAAGAACCAUGAUAGAACAGAAGAUGAUUGCAUAAUGUUAACAUGCUAUGUCUGCAUUGGAUAUUAUUGGUAGUUUAUUUUCAGCAUAGUUUCUUGAUGCCAUGCUAUGCUUUGAUUGACAUGUUAAGUUAUGCCAUGAUUGAGUAAAAUUCCAUUGCCAUGUUAGUAGAUGUUAUGAUUUUGUUCAUGCUUAGUUGAUUUUUAUCAUGCCAUGUUUAGUAAUUGAUAUGAGAUAGGGUGUUGCAUGCGCUCGGUUCUUGCUUUGUCUGCAGCUUGUUUGGAUGCUAUGUAUUUGGUUGUCUUGCAAGUACAUUCAAUGUACUGACCUGGCGUGUCAUGCCAGUUUUGUAGGUCGUACCCAUAUUGCUCGCUUGAUCCGUCGUGCUAGGCCGUAAUCUUGCCAGUCCUGUGAGUUGUGGAGCCCAGCUAGAGUUGUUAUCUGCCAAACCAAGACUUACGCUGCCAUUUUUAUCAUACUUUCGAUGUCAUUUAAUAGCCUUAGGGCUAUGCCAGAUAAUUGUAUUCAUCAAUGAUGUAAUCUCAUAUACAUGUGUUUGAUGAAUAUUUUUGUACCUGGAAUGCUGUAUUAUGGACCUGUCAUGCGUCAGGUGUUAUCCUGGGCUGAUGUGCGCAGCCCCCCUGCUUCAUGCGGAUCGGGGUGCCACACACAUACAUCUAUAUGUAUGAUUUCCAACAAAUCUGUUGCUCGCUCCAUAGUUCUGGAGAACGGCGUUUUAGUCAUCUUGCCCAUGAGGCAUGGU